UCGCGAAAACUUCACAAUGGGGGCAACCCCGAUGAGGGAAUUCCUAGUGCUAGCACAUUUGUGUUAGCUUUUCUUUAGCUUAGAAAACUAGAGGAAUAAGGGCUGGGUAAGACGGGUGCCAGCCGCCGCGGUAAUACCUGCAGCCCAAGUGGUGGUCGAUUUUAUUGAGUCUAAAACGUUCGUAGCCGGUUCGGUAAAUCUUUGGGUAAAUCGGGGUGCUUAACCUUCCGACUUCCGAGGAGACUGCCGAACUUGGGACCGGGAGAGGCUAGAGGUACUUCUGGGGUAGGGGUAAAAUCCUGUAAUCCUAGAAGGACCACCGGUGGCGAAGGCGUCUAGCUAGAACGGAUCCGACGGUGAGGGACGAAGCCCUGGGUCGCAAACGGGAUUAGAUACCCCGGUAGUCCAGGGUGUAAACGCUGCAGACUUGGUGUUGGAGGCCCUUUGGGGGCAUUCAGUGCCGGAGAGAAGUUGUUAAGUCUGCUACUUGGGGAGUACGUCCGCAAGGAUGAAACUUAAAGGGAUUGGCGGGGGAGCACCGCAACGGGAGGAGCGUGCGGUUUAAUUGGAUUCAACACCGUAAAACUCACCAGGGAAGACUGUUACAUGAAGGCCGGGCUAAAGACUCUGCCAGAUUUUCA
rnacentral:rRNA from 1 species